rnacentral:tRNA from 1 species
UCCGUUGUAGUCUAGUUGGUUAGGAUACUCGGCUCUCACCCGAGAGACCCGGGUUCAAUUCCGCAACGGAA